rnacentral:rRNA from 1 species
AGAACGAACGCUGGCGGCAUGCCUAACACAUGCAAGUCGAACGGGCCCUUCGGGGCUAGUGGCGCACGGGUGCGUAACGCGUGGGAAUCUGCCCUUAGGUUCGGAAUAACUCAGGGAAACUUGAGCUAAUACCGUAUAAUGACUUCGGUCCAAAGAUUUAUCGCCUAGGGAUGAGCCCGCGUAGGAUUAGCUUGUUGGUGAGGUAAAGGCUCACCAAGGCGACGAUCCUUAGCUGGUCUGAGAGGAUGAUCAGCCACACUGGGACUGAGACACGGCCCAGACUCCUACGGGAGCAGCAGUGGGGAAUAGUU